rnacentral:piRNA from 1 species
UCUCAGUGUGCAAAAGGAUAUGUCUGGAC